rnacentral:rRNA from 1 species
GAUGAACGCUGGCGGCGUGCCUAAUACAUGCAAGUCGAGCGAACGGACGAGAAGCUUGCUUCUCUGAUGUUAGCGGCGGACGGGUGAGUAACACGUGGAUAACCUACCUAUAAGACUGGGAUAACUUCGGGAAACCGUAGCUAAUACCGGAUAAUAUUUUGAACCGCAUGGUUCAAAAGUGAAAGACGGUCUUGCUGUCACUUAUAGAUGGAUCCGCGCUGCAUUAGCUAGUUGAUAAGGUAACGGCUUACCAAGGCAACGAUGCAUAGCCGACCUGAGAGGGUGAUCGGCCACACUGGAACUGAGACACGGUCCAGACUCCUAAGGGAGGCAGGAGUAGGGAAUCUUCCGCAAUGGGCGAAAGCCUGACGGAGCAACGCCGGGUGGGGGAUGAAGGUCUUCGGAUCGUAAAACUUUGUUAUUAGGGAAGAACAAAUGUGUAAGUAACUAGGCACGUCUUGACGGUACCUAAUCAGAAAGCCACGGCUAACUACGUG